CCAGUCUCCUACGGGAGGCAGCAGUGGGGAAUAUUGCACAAUGGGCGCAAGCCUGAUGCAGCUAUGCCGCGUGUAUGAAGAAGGCCUUAGGGUUGUAAAGUACUUUCAAUAAGGAAGAAGUAAUAAAAUAUAAUAUAUUUUAUUAUUGACGUUACUUAUAAAAGAAGCACCGGCUAACUCCGUGCCAGCAGCCGCGGUAAUACGGAGGGUGCUAGCGUUAAUCGGAAUUACUGGGCGUAAAGAGCACGUAGGCGGUUUAUUAAGUCAGAUGUGAAAUCCCUAAGCUUAACUUAGGAACUGCAUUUGAAACUAAUUUACUUGAGUAUCAUAGAGGGGAGUAGAAUUCCAGGUGUAGCGGUGAAAUGCGUAGAUAUCUGGAGGAAUACCAGUGGCGAAGGCGACUCCCUGGAUGAAUGCUGACGCUCAGGUGCGAAAGCAUGGGUAGCAAACAGGAUUAGAUACCCUGGUAGUCCAUGCUGUAAACGAUGUCGACUUGGAGGUUGUAAGCUUGUCUUGUAGCUUCCGUAGCUAACGCGUUAAGUCGACCGCCUGGGGAGUACGACCGCAAGGUUAAAACUCAAAUGAAUUGACGGGGGCCCGCACAAGCGGUGGAGCAUGUGGUUUAAUUCGAUGCAACGCGAAAAACCUUACCUGGUCUUGACAUCCAUGGAAUUUAAUAGAGAUAUUUUAGUGCCUUCGGGAACCAUGAGACAGGUGCUGCAUGGCUGUCGUCAGCUCGUGUUGUGAAAUGUUGGGUUAAGUCCCGCAACGAGCGCAACCCUUGUCCUUUGUUGCCAACGGUUCGGCCGGGAACUCAAAGGAGACUGCUGGUGAUAAGCCGGAGGAAGGUGGGGAUGACGUCAAGUCAUCAUGGCCCUUACGACCAGGGCUACACACGUGCUACAAUGGUAUAUACAAAGGGAAGCAUCCUCGCAAGAGUAAGCGGAUCUCAUAAAAUAUAUCUUAGUUCGGAUUGGAGUCUGCAACUCGACUCUAUGAAGUCGGAAUCGCUAGUAAUCGUAGAUCAGAAUGCUACGGUGAAUACGUUCCCGGGCCUUGUACACACCGCCCGUCACACCAUGGGAGUGGGUUGUAAAAGAAGUAGGUUGCUUAACCUUACGGAGAGCGCUUACCACUUUGUGAUUCAUAACUGGGGUGAAGUCGUAACAAG
rnacentral:rRNA from 1 species